rnacentral:siRNA from 1 species
UUUGCGUUCGCGCAGCCCCUACC